rnacentral:lncRNA from 1 species
UUUGAUCUUGAUAAUUCAAGAGAGAUGAUAACCCAGGUAUAGAACGUGAGUUACCUAUAUUAGCUAAAGUUGUAUAAUAGUUAAUAAAAAUAGUUUUUUCAUAAACUUCAUUAUAUUUAUCUGUCAGUAUUCUGAUCAAGUUAAAGGUAAUGGAUACAAUCAAUAUGCUAAUUUAUUUAUAAUUAUUCAUGAUAUUUCAUGUUGCAUCAAUUUGUUAGCGACUUUAACCUGUGAGAAUUGACAAUACAGUCAUAAGAUUUGCAUCCAUCUCGUAUAAAAGUGAAUACUUGUGUAGCAUCAAUCUCCAUUUCUAAUAGAUAGGCUUCUUGUUGUUUGCAAUACAAAGCCCAUAAUAAAGAGCCAUGAGUUCUGCCUAGUUUGGAUUUUUAGCACUAAUAUUCGAAGCAAAACCAAUUAGCCAAUCCCCUUUCUCAUUUUUUACUACCACUCUAAUGCCACCUAUUCCUUUAUUCUUAUUAAAAGCUUCGUCUACGUUAAAUUUAUACCAACACCUACUAGUUUUUUCUCAUUUGAUAGAGAGAGUGGUUUUCCUACUCCAAUUGGAUUCUCUAUUAAUGAGUAACACGUAUUCAACUGAUUGAUUGAUGAUCCUGCUGAGAGAUGAGUAAAUGGUAGUGUUAUUAAUGUUGUUAUAAUUCCAAGUAACCCAAAUGUUCCAGAUAAUAAAGGGGAAUAGGGUGUUCCGAUUGCUUAUCUUAUUAAGAAUAAUGGAAUUUUUUAAUUGGAAAGAAUGAAGCCACGUUGGACUUGAUUGGUGCGGAGAGGAAAAGCUAAUUCCCAGGUUGUUCCAAAGAAUUUUUAUAUUUGGACAAAAUAAAAAUAUGUGCUUAAGGGAUUCAGGUUCCUUACGACAAAUAGUACAAGUUUCAUCUAUGUUCAUGUUAAUAUGGGAAAGAUAUUGUCUAUAUGGCAGUCUAUUAAGGUUGCAAAACCACAUACAGUGCUUAAUUUUGUUAGGGCAUUUUAAUUCUCAAAUCCAAUUACUUUUAAUAUCAGGGUUAAUUUUUCCUUCCAGUAGUUCAUAACAAGACUUAGUUGUAAAUAAGUCGUUUGGGUUACUAUCCCAGGAAAAAGAAUCAGAUUUGGAGUCAUUGAGGAUAAAAAUUGAUUGGAUUUUAGAUCUAAUUUCCUUACAGAUAUAUAAGGAAAUACUACCCAAAUCCCAGCUAGCCCUUGUCCUAAUAUCACAUAUCAUAAGGGAGGAUUCCUUUUUAGAAAGAGGGUCAAUUACGUAGCUUCUAAGGGUUUGUGAGUUUUUAUCCACUUAUUGUCCCAUAAGUUUAAGGUUGAGGAAUUGUGAAUAGUCCAAGAUAACACUUUUUGGCAUAAUUCCCAUCUCCUUAUCAUAUUUUUCCAAAUGAAGGAGCCUUUAUCAAUUGCUUUAUAUGAGUAUUUUUUUUAGAAGAAUUGAGCCCCAAAGAUUAGUUGUAUUAUUAGCUAAUCUCCAUGCUAGGCUGGCUAGUAAGCUUAUGGUUUUUGACCGAACUUUCCUUAGACCAAGCCCUCCUUCCUGUUUAGUUCUAGUAACAAUACCCCAAUUAACUAGGUGACGUUUUUUCUUAUUAUCAGUUGAUCCCAAAAAUUUCUAUGGAUUUGAUCAAUAUUCUUAAGAAUUUCAGGAGGCAGCAUAGAUAUUGCAUGUAGUAAGCAGUAAACUUGCUAGGGUUAAUGUAAUUAGGUACAUCUACCAGCUAAAUUGAGCUUAUCGCUUUUACAUCCUGAGAGCUUACUCCUCAUAGUAUUAAUGAUAAAUUGGUAUUCCUUGUGGCUAGGAUUUUCCAUAAUGAUGGGAAAACAUAAGUAGUUCCCAAAGAAACUGCAUUCCUUAAUGCCGAGGGUAUUAGAGAUAUUAGAUCUAGUUGUUAUACCACAAUUUUCUGAGAAGAUUAUUCUAGAUUUUUUAACAUUAAUAAUUUUCCCAGAGAUGAUACAAAAUUGCUUAAGAGCAAAUUUAAAAGAAGAGGUUGUGUUGAUAUUUUCAUUUCCUAUUAGUGCCAAAUCAUCCACAUAAAACAUAUAAGAUAGUAGGGGACUGUCUUUAUUAAGAGAGAUGGGGUCCCAACUUCUUAUGUCUACUAGAUGAUUAAUAUAAUUUGAUAACAUCCACAUACAUAAAAUAAAGAUAUAGGGAGACAUAGGAUACCUUUACCUAAUCCUUCUACUAGGAUGGAAAUCAUAGUUUUUGUACCAUAGACUAAAACAGAGGUUAAGGAAGUAGUUACACAAGACGUGGUAAGUUCUGAGAUAUUAGGAGGCAACUUGGAGAAGAGUAGGGUCCUAUAUAUGAAAUACCAUUCAAGUUUAUCAAAGGUCUUCUCAAGAUUAAUUUUUAAAAAGAUUUCCCAUUAUUACCUUUUGAUUUUUUGAAGGAGCGAAUGAGCUUUUGGAUGAUAAUAGCAUUAUCAUUAGCUCUCCUAUACUUUAUGAAGUUGUAUUGAAUGGGGAUGAUGGGAUCAUUAAGAUAAGGUUUUAGCUUAUUUGCAAUAAUUUUGGUUACUAUUUUGUAAAUAGUAUUGUAAAGGCUUAUAGGACGAAAAUUAUUAAGGUUGUUAGCAUUAGGAAAUUAGGGAUAAGGCAAAUGAAAGUAGAAUUUAUAUUUAGGAGAAUUGUUUUAUCCCUAAGGACUUUGUGAACGAAAAACCUUACUGAUUCUCGUAUUAUCUUCUAAUAUUUUUGGUAAAAAAAGGAUGUAAACCAUCCGGCCCAGGAGAUUUAAAUUUUUUGAAGGAGAAUAUAGCACUAUUAAUUUUUUCAUCUAGUUGGGGUCUAUCCAGAUUAGAAAGAUCAAUUAUAUGAUAGCUAGUUGAGCUAUGGAUUAUUGUUUUCAUGUUUGUAAUAGUGCGACUAGUACAGAAUAAUUUAGUGAAGUGAUCAAGGGUAUGGUUUAUGAUGUCAAUGUGAUUAUCAAUCCAAGUUCCUUCUCUAUUUUUAAAGAAACUAAUGUGGUUUUUUUCUUUUAAGGGAAGAUGCACUUAUUUGAAAAAAUUGUAGUAUUCGUAUCUCCUUCGUUAAGCCAAGUGAUUCUAGAUCUAAGCUUCCAAUAACCUUACUCUAAUUUGAGAAUGAUGUUAUAGUUAGUAAUUAGAUCCUUUUCUAAACUUUGAAGAAAUGAGCUAGUGCAAAGGUGAGGGAAUUUUCGUAUGCCAUUUAUUCUUGCUAGAAGUAUUUUUUUCCCUAAAUAAGUUACCAAAAUUGUCACUUCCCAAUUUCUUAAUAAAAGUAGUACAUGCAUUAUUUGCCCCCAUAAGGUCAUUAUUUCUCUAGUGGUAUGCAACUAUAGUACCAAAAUUAGGAUGAGUACACCAAAUAUUUUCGACUCUAAAUAUUUUUAUUAUUUGGAAUAGUAUUAUUAAACUUAACUAGGAUGGGCUUAUGAUCAGAAUGUGUUUUAGGGAGGUAGGUAAUGGUAACAUCAGGAAAUUUUUUAAUCAAAUCAUUGUUAGCUAAUAUUCUGUCUAAUCUUUUCAUAAUUAAACCCUUUUUCUUCCUAUGAUUAGACGAUGUAAACUUACUUCCCUUGAAGUAAGGUCAAUUAACUUGCAAGAGUUUAUAUUAUCCCAUAUUUUAGCUACCCUAUUUUUUCUAGAGGUCUUCCUCCAAUUUUUUUAUUUGGGCUAAUAAUAUUAUUUAGGUCACCUCUUAUCAACCAUGGCCUUUUAUAAUUAUGAGAUAUAAUUUUUAAAUUUUCCCAGAUAAUAUCUCAAUGGUGAACUUGUGUACUAGCAUAAAUAGUCGUAAAAAGCCAACUAAAAUUAAAAAGACGAACCUGAAGCAGAGCAUGGAUAUCCUUACUGUUUCUUGUGAAGUGUUCAACUCUAAUCACAUCGUUGUUGUAGAGAAUAGCAUUCCCCCUGACUAACCUUCAACGGGAACCUUAAUGAGUUCAGAGAAAUUAAACUCAUGGAGGAGAGGGGCAUGCACAUGCAUCCUAGUUUCCAAGAGAUCCACCAAACAAGGUUUGCGGGUAUCUAUUAGGGCCAUACAAUUACGAUGAAAUCCAUCAUUGUUGCUCCCCCGUACGUUCCAGAAUACAUUAGUGGUAGCUCUAUUCAUUGGAGGGAGUUGAGGUUGGUUCACCGUGGAUUUCCUUUACACUAAGUUGUGACUCCUCCUUCUUGAUGGAACGGGAUGAUAGCUUGCUUUCCUACGGUGGGAUCUUGUGGUGAACGAAUAUGCAUGAAGCAUUUGUACAUGGUGCCUGGGCAACUGAAGAUGUACUUCUUGCUCCAUAGUUUCGGUAAUAGAAAUAUUUUUACUUCGUUUAGGCUUGAGAAUUCUACACUCGGUUGAGUACCUUGUGGAGUGUGUUCUUCUUCUUCCUCUACUGGAGGUUGUGGAGGACAUUGUUUUGGAGCAUUGUCUUGAAAUAUCUAGAUUGACUACGGCCAUGUUCGGAGGGUUGUUGUUUUCAUUUGUGGCUUGGUAACUCCAGGGCAUGAAGAUUGGGUUGACCAUCGUGCUCUCUACGGAUCUUGAAUAUUAAUUAUAUGAGCUUAGAACUCUAAGUUUUAAUCACUGAAUUCAUUAUCUUGUUUGAGUUUAAGAUUAUAAAUCAAAAUUUUUAUAAUUUCAGUAAAUUUUAUAAAUUUAAUUAAAAAUAUAGGCUUAAAAUUAUGAGGUCAAAAUAAACUUAAUACCUAAUUUGCUCCCCCCAAUUGUCUUAACUUUAUACUAAUAUUUUUGUUCGUACAAUGAUACAUUUAAUUUUAUGUAUUUCAUAGACAAAGGAAUUUAUUGGAUCGAGAAAUGAUAAAAAUAAACAUAAGAGUUAGCAAUAGAAAUAGAAGAAGAUGACAAAUAUGACUACGGGUAUAAUUUCUCCAUGGACAUAAAUUAAAGCAAUGAUUAAGAGAAAAUAAAGUUGUUUAAUAAGAGUAAAAUAUAGCAUAUGUUUUCCAUGAAUUUCUUGCCUUACAUUGGUUGUUGAGCCUUCACUUUAUAACUAUACCUAGGGAAACAAGAUCGUAGGAUCAAGCUUUACUUAAAUGAUAAUAAAGUAGUCAUGCAUGAAUAUGUAAAGAGAGUCCGUAAAUAUAAAUAUUUUCUGUAACAGUUGCUCAAUAAUGAUAGAGAAUAUUCGCUUAUUGAAUGCUAUCCGAUUGCAGAUACUCGAUAUGUUCCCUUUAAUAAUGCUCCCUUUGAAAUUUACCCUAUGUCGAUUGUAAUUAUUAUUCCCGGUACUGGCUUUUACUUGACUCGCAUUUUACUUGUCUUCAGCUCCUCGUGUCAUGCUAUCAUUCGACCAGCUAUUAAAAAAAAAUUCCCAUACAGAUAGUACCUCUACUUGGAUUAUCCUUGUGUUACCAAGAAGUCGGUGAAAAUUCCCUUCUUGCCGGAGAAGCCCCUUAUCAAUCUGUGUGCACGGAAAUAUCGGAGGGUCCAAUUUUCUCGUCAUUAUGAUGCUCCACGGACAUACUUCUCAAGGCUUGAGACAAGGGUCAACGUUCACCUUCAAGGGUAGUCGAUGCUCGACCUCGGGGCAAUGCAGACCAAUGGAUAUAUUGGAAAAGAUGGGAGUGCCCAAGGCACGAAGCUAGUACUGACAGAGUCUAAUAGAAUACUCUAAACCCGAAUCAGAGUGUCAUCUAGUUAUCCCAUCUCCAAUCUUUGUAAUUAAUAUAUUUUGUACUAUGGUUGGAUUCCUUUCCUAUAUAAAGGGGACCCUUGUCAUUUUGUAAAGUUGUUAUUUGCGUUGCUCCACAUAAAAUGUACUAGAAAGUUCUCUCUACACUCUAACACAUUCCCUUGAUAUUGAAGUAUUUACUAUCUU